GCCUUGCCCUAAACAAAAGUAGCAAAGUAUGUCUGCUACUCGCCCGGGAACUACGAGCAAAAGCUUAAAACCCAAAGGACUUGGCGGUGCUUUAGACCCACCUAGAGGAGCCUGUUCUGGAACCGAUAACCCCCGUUCAACCUCACCCUCUCUUGUUCCACCCGCCUAUAUACCGCCGUCGUCAGCUUACCCUGCAAAGGACACACAGUAAGCGUAAUUGGCAUAGCCCAAAACGUCAGGUCGAGGUGUAGCGUAUGAGAGGGGAAGAAAUGGGCUACAUUCCCUGACACAGUGUACACGAACGAUGUCAUGAAAUAAACAUCUAAAGGAGGAUUUAGCAGUAAGAAGGAAAGCAGAGCGUUCCUCUGAAAAUGGCCCUGAAGCGCGC
rnacentral:rRNA from 1 species